rnacentral:rRNA from 1 species
GAUGAACGCUGGCGGCGUGCCUAAUACAUGCAAGUCGAGCGAACGGACGAGAAGCUUGCUUCUCUGAUGUUAGCGGCGGACGGGUGAGUAACACGUGGAUAACCUACCUAUAAGACUGGGAUAACUUCGGGAAACCGGAGCUAAUACCGGAUGAUAUUUUGAACCGCAUGGUUCAAAAGUGAAAGACGGUCUUGCUGUCACUUAUAGAUGGAUCCGCGCUGCAUUAGCUAGUUGGUAAGGUAACGGCUUACCAAGGCAACGAUGCAUAGCCGACCUGAGAGGGUGAUCGGCCACACUGGAACUGAGACACGGUCCAGACUCCUACGGGAGGCAGCAGUAGGGAAUCUUCCGCAAUGGGCGAAAGCCUGACGGAGCAACGCCGCGUGAGUGAUGAAGGUCUUCGGAUCGUAAAACUCUGUUAUGAGGGAAGAACAUAUGUGUAAGUAACUGUGCACAUCGUGACGGUACCUAAUCAGAAAGCCACGGCUAACUACGUG